rnacentral:rRNA from 1 species
AUGGACGACGUUGCUUUUGUUGCAGUAGACUUUGAGGAGGAGGAGAUUGAAAACAUCGAGCCGGGUUGGAAGCUGAUGAGCCUAUACAGAUCACAGAAACGGCCAAGCGCGAAGACGCUGUCGGAUCACUUUGAGAAAAUUUGGCAGCUACGUACAGGAGUUGAGUUUAAGCCCGUAAAGAAAAAUUACUUUGUGGUCACUUUUUUCUCUGAAGGGGACUACAGAUUCGUUGCUUGGGGAGGGCCAUGGAUUUAUGAAGGAGAUGCUUUGUUGGUGGCUCCGUUUGUGGAAGAUGCUCAUCCGUCUGAAACUAUAAUGGAUUCAGUCCCUGUGUGGGUGCGUGUCUUUGAUGUGCCUUGGAAUAAACAAACCAGGCCAUAUGGGAACGCCUUGGGUGGCACCCUGGGAGAGGUGUUGGAGGUUGAUGCUCCGGAAGUUGGGCAUGGCACUAGCGAAUUUUUGAGGAUCAGAGUUAAGCUGCCAUAUAACAGGAGGUUGCAGAAGGAGGUUACGCUAGAAUAUACUGUCAGAGGAGUAACAAAACGAUCUACUUUUAAACUCAAGUAUGAGCGUGUACCACACUUCUGUUUCUUCUGUGGUUUUCUAGGCCAUGAUGAAGAUGUGUGUGAGAAGAAGAGGCUUGGGCUGCCAUCUAAAGCCUACGAUUCCACGCUCCGUUGUUCCCCGUUUAAGAAGUAUGAGCAAAGACCAGCAUAUACAGCGUCGCCGGGCCAGCCAAGGGCGCGCCGUGUGUUGGACUUUUCCCUGGGCCGCGCUCGUUCUACUACACGACAAUCCGCUUCUUCUUCAGCGAGAAGUGAGUCUAGACAUAAUCCAGUUAUACCAGAUAGGGUUGAUGCCCAUGAUGGGUUUGAGAACAGAGAAGGAUCAGGUGAGACGGCGGCUGUUAUUCAGCUUGCGGAUGAGGUGGAGGCGCUCCGUCUGAGGCUGGCCAAAGAGAAACCAGAGUGCAGUCAAUCUCAGCAGAUAAAGAUUCAUUUUGAAGCAAAAGCUAUGGACAAACAGACUGAACUACAACCCAAAUCUUACAAGAAGAGAAGUCCUGGUAAGAAAGUUGUGGCAGCAAGGAAGCCAGGCACUCUAGUUAUCACGGAAAAAGAACCUACUUCGAAUGUCAUGAACCCAACAUUACGGGGUGUUGAAUUUUUGGAUAAAUCUUUUGGUACAGCGGUGGACUUGAUGGUAUGCAAUGAUUCCAUCUUGGGAAAACGUCAGGUUGCGGGAUUGUUUGGUUAUGGGCAGGAUGCGCAACUUGACAAAGCUAUGGUGCCGUUCGUUGAUGUUCCAACAGGAGGUAGUCUGAAGAAAGGGAAAACUGAAGGUCAACAACAAGAGGAGGAAGUAACCAGCAAAGGAAGUGUGGUGGACUUGGAGGCAGCUGGCCUAGGGGCCGCCAGCGAUCUGACGGGGCCUUUGGCCCCCCGUCAGAAGCAAUGA